rnacentral:rRNA from 1 species
ACGGGUGAGUAACACGUGGGCAACCUGCCUGUAAGACUGGGAUAACUUCGGGAAACCGAAGCUAAUACCGGAUAGGAUCUUCUCCUUCAUGGGAGAUGAUUGAAAGAUGGUUUCGGCUAUCACUUACAGAUGGGCCCGCGGUGCAUUAGCUAGUUGGUGAGGUAACGGCUCACCAAGGCAACGAUGCAUAGCCGACCUGAGAGGGUGAUCGGCCACACUGGGACUGAGACACGGCCCAGACUCCUACGGGAGGCAGCAGUAGGGAAUCUUCCGCAAUGGACGAAAGUCUGACGGAGCAACGCCGCGUGAGUGAUGAAGGCUUUCGGGUCGUAAAACUCUGUUGUUAGGGAAGAACAAGUACGAGAGUAACUGCUCGUACCUUGACGGUACCUAACCAGAAAGCCACGGCUAACUACGUGCCAGCAGCCGCGGUAAUACGUAGGUGGCAAGCGUUAUCCGGAAUUAUUGGGCGUAAAGCGCGCGCAGGCGGUUUCUUAAGUCUGAUGUGAAAGCCCACGGCUCAACCGUGGAGGGUCAUUGGAAACUGGGGAACUUGAGUGCAGAAGAGAAAAGCGGAAU